rnacentral:SRP_RNA from 1 species
GACCGGGCUCUGUGCGACAGGAAUUUAUGAACUCCCGUCAGGUCCGGAAGGAAGCAGCGGUAAAUGAAGCCUCUUGUGCGCCGCAGUCAGCCUGGUCUCU